UCAUGAUAAGAAUUUCAUGUCUUUUGUAUUAAAGAAUUAAAUGGAUGAAAUAUGAAGUUUUAUUAAAAGAAAAAGGGGUGAAAAGAACAAAGUUUUGUCCAUCUUUGUUCAUCAUAGCUGAAAGUUAGAGAAGAGAAAGGAGAGGAGAAAGCUCUUGAGUAUUUGGUCAUUAGGAGGAGGAAAAUUGAAGGUAAUCCCCAACCAUAGUGGGCUUGGAGCUGUGAGGGAAUUCGGAGUGGCCACCUGUUCUGAAAGUUUGAUUUUCUUCUGGUGAACUGGACAUCCUUUUAUUUACGUUUGAAGUUUUGGGUUUUUAAAUGUGAUAAGGUCGCUUAUUUAUUUUUGA